rnacentral:rRNA from 1 species
UACGGAGGAUGCGAGCGUUAUCCGGAUUUACUGGGUGUAAAGGGAGCGUAGACGGCGCGGCAAGUCUGAAGUGAAAGGCAGGGGCUUAACCCCUGAACUGCUUUGGAAACUGCCAUGCUAGAGUGCUGGAGAGGUAAGUGGAAUUCCUAGUGUAGCGGUGAAAUGCGUAGAUAUAUGGAAGAACACCAGUGGCGAAAGCGGCUCUCUGGUCUGUAACUGACGCUGAGGUUCGAAAGCGUGGGUAGCAAACAGG